rnacentral:lncRNA from 1 species
AAAAAGCCACUUUUAUUUCUCAUUUCUCCCAAGACCUUCUUUCUCUAUAUUUCGGGAAUGGGAAUGAGAUAGAGUGAUAAGAUCACAAGCCAAGAAUGCUUUUCAGCUUAGCCGGAACAAAUAACAAAGAUCAGAAUCCGAGAAUCAAAGUCUGAAGAGGUAUAAACUCUAAAAAUUUAGAAAUCAGUGAUUUGAUGUUAAAUGUUGUUAAUGAUUGGUUAAAGUUGUGUAUUAAGGUGUCUAUAAGUGAUCUGGGUUGAUAGAUCAUGGAUCUAUAACAUCUAGAUGCACGGAAAUCAAGUUUUCAAAAUUGACCAAGAACCCUAAUUUUAAGGCCUGACAGUCAUAUGUCAGCACCUCUAGAUCCGUGUGUGUUCGAUGUUUUCUGUGUUUUAUGUUUUGAAUCUAUUCUAUGCCAUGUGGACUACUAUAUCUGGAACUGGAAUCAUGGACAUAUCAUUUCUAGAUCGCUUGUUAUAGGCAGUCAACGGUCAUUGACCGAUAAACGAUAUCUGUAACAAACCCUAAGUAUAUAUUAAGAACGUCAACGUUCGGUUAGAAAACCCUAGUGAAUUAUAAGAAACCCUAGAAACCUGUUCUGGAAACUCUUAAUUUUAGUUCCGGGAAUCCGAAACCAUAAUUCAGAAUUUUAAAACCCGAAUAUGGGAACUUAAAGGAUAAUUAUAAUGCUCAAGUGCUAUUAAUUAUAAUAUUAAUUAGUGUAAAACUUAAUUAUUUAAUAAACCCUAAUUUCAAAAUUUUAAACCCUAAUUUAGGGAUUUGAAACCCUAAUUUAUAAAUAGGGAAACCCUAAGUGUUAAUUUAAUACUUUUAAUGUUAAUUAGGAAAUAUUAAUUCUAAUUUUUAAGUUAUAGUAAUUAGAAAACCCUAAUAUCAUUAGGAAAUCUAAUUUUGAAAUUGGAAAUAUUAUUUUUCUGAAUAAAAUCCUAAUUCAUGGGUUAUGAACCGUAAUGACCAUUUUGUCCUUAAUUGCUUCAUUAGCAAAUUUUAAUUAGGAAAUACUAAUCCUGAUUAGCAAGAUUUAAUUUAUGAUUAAGAAAUUUUAAUAUAAUUAGAAAAUUCUAAUUGUAAUUUAGAAAUAUUAUUUUUCUAUUUUUAAAACCAAAAUUCAGAAAUCUUAGAAAUUAAAUUACAAAGUUAAGGGUUAUACCCUAAACCCUAAGGAUUCAAACCCUAAACCCUAAGGGUUUGGGACAAAUGACCAUGUUGCCAUUAAAAUAAAAAUCAAUUGACUAAAGUGCCCUUGGUUGUAUUAUUGAAGGUUGCUUGUAGAUGUAGCCAUAAUUUAGGAGUGGGUGACCAAAUAAUAUCUAGCAUAUGACUUAUAUCUAUUGUAGCAGCCGAAAUCAUCAAACUCAUAGCUACAUGUCAACAAUUACAGAGAUUAAAGAGAGAGAAAAAGCCACUUUUAUUUCUCAUUUCUCCCAAGACCUUAUUUCUCUAUAUUUUGCGAAUGGUAAUGGGAAUGAGAUAGUGUGAUAAGUUAAGCCAAGAAUGCUUCUCAGCUUAGCCGGAACAGAUAACAAAGGUCAGAAUCCAAGAAUCAAAGUCUUAAGAGGUAUAAACCCUAAAAAUUUAGAAAUCAGUGAUUUGAUGUUAAAUGUUGUUAAUGAUUGGUUAAAGUUGUGUAUUAAGGUGUCUAUAAGUGAUCUGGGUUGAUAGAUCAUGGAUCUAUAACAUCUAGAGGCACGAAAAUCAAGUUUUCAAAACUGACCAAGAACCCUAAUUUUAAGGCCUGACAGUCAUAUGUCAGUGCCUCUAGAUCCGUGUGUGUUAGAUGUUUUCUGUGUUUUAUAUUUUGAAUCUAUUCUAUGCCAUAUGGACUACCAUCUGGAACUGGAAUCAUGGACAUAUCAUUUCUAGAUCGCUUGUUAUAGGCAGUCAAAGGUCGUUGACCGAUAAACGAUAUCUGUAACAAACCCUAAGUAUAUAUUAAGAACGUCAACCUUCGGUUAGAAAACCCUAGUGAAUUAUAAGAAACCCUAGAAACCGGUUCUAGAAAUCUUAAUUUCAGUUUCGGGAAUCCAUAACCCUAAUUCAGAAUUUAAAACCCUAAUAUUAGAACUUAAAGGAUAAUUAUAAUGCUCAAGUGCUAUUAAUUAUAAAUAUUUAUUAGGGUAAAACUUAAUUAUUUAAUAAACCCUAAUUUCAAAAAUUUAAACCCUAAUUUAGGGAUUUAAAACCCUAAUUUAUAAACAGGGAAACCCUAAGUGUUAAUUUAAUAAUUUUAAUGUUAAUUAGGAAAUAUUAAUUCUAAUUUUCAAGUAAUAGUAAUUAGAAAAUCCUAAUAUCAUUAGGAAAUCUAAUUUCGAAAUUGGAAAUAAUAUUUUUCUGAAUAAAACCCUAAUUCAUGGGUUAUGAACCGUAAUGACCAUUUUGUCCUUAAUUGCUUCAAUAGCAAAUUUUAAUUAGGAAAUACUAAUCCUGAUUAGCAAGAUUUAAUUUAUGAUUAAGAAAUUUUAAUAUAAUUAGAAAAUUCUAAUUGUAAUUUAGAAAUAUUAUUUUUCUAUUUUUAAAACUGAAACUCAGAAAUCUUAGAAAUCAAAUUGCAAAGUUAAGGGUUAUACCCUAAACCCUAAGGAUUCAAACCCUAAACCCUAAGGGUUUGGGAUAAAUGACCAUAUUGCCAUUAAAAUAAAAAUCAAUUGACUAAAGUGCUCUUGGUUGUAUUAUUGAAGGUUGCUUGUAGAUCUAGCCAUAAUUUAGGAGUGGGUGACCAAAUAAUAUCUAGCAUGUGACUUAUAUCUAUUGUACUAGCCGAAAUCGUCAAAAUCAUAGCAACAUGUCAACCAUUACAGAGAUUAAAGAGAGAGCAAAAGCCACUUUUAUUUCUCAUUUCUCCCAAGACCUUCUUUCUCUAUAUUUCGGGAAUGGGAAUGAGAUAGAGUGAUAAGAUAAACCAAAAAUACUUCUCAGCUUUGCCGGAACAGAUAACAAAGGUCAGAAUCCAAGAAUCAAAGUCUCAAGAGGUAUAAACCAUGAAAAUUUAGAAAUCAGUUAUUUGAUGUUAAAUGUUGUUAAUGAUUGGUUAAAGUUGUGUAUUAAGGCGUCUAUAAGUGAUCUGGGUUGAUAGAUCAUGGAUCUAUAACAUCUAGAUGCACGAAAAUCAAGUUUUCAAAACUGACCAAGAACCCUAAUUUUAAGGCCUGACAGUCAUAUGUCAGUGCCUCUAGAUCCGUGUGUGUUAGAUGUUUUCUAUGUUUUAUAUUUUGAAUCUAUUCUAUGCCAUGUGGACUACCAUCUGGAACUGGAAUCAUGGACAUAUCAUUUCUAGAUCGCUUGUUAUAGGCAGUCAAAGAUCGUUGACCGAUAAACGAUAUCUAUACCAAACCCUAAGUAUAUAUUAAGAACGUCAACGUUCGGUUAGAAAACCCUAGUAAAUUAUAAAAAACCCAAGAAACCGGUUCUUGAAACCCUAAUUUCAGUUCCGAGAAUCCGAAACCCUAAUUCAGAAUUUUAAACCCAAAUAUGGGAACUUAAAGGAUAAUUAUAAUGCUCAAGUGCUAUUAAUUAUAAUAUUUAUUGGGGUAAAACUUAAUUAUUUAGUAAACCCUAAUUUCAAAUUUUAAAAACCUAAUUUAGGGAUUUGAAACCCUAAUUUAUAAAUAGGGAAACCCUAAGUGUUAAUUUAAUAAUUUUAAUGUUAAUUACGAAAUAUUAAUUCUAAUUUUCAAGUUAUAGUAAUUAGAAAACCCUUAUAUCAUUAGGAAAUCUAAUUUUGAAAUUAGAAAUAAUUAUUUUUCUGAAUAAAACCCUAAUUCGUGGGUUAUGAACCGUAAUAACCAUUUUGUCCUUAAUUGCUUAAUAAGCAAAUUUUAAUUAGGAAAUAUUAAUCCUGAUUAGCAAGAUUUAAUUUAUGAUUAAGAAAUUUUAAUAUAAUUAGAAAAUUCUAAUUGUAAUUUAGAAAUAUUAUUUUUCUAUUUUUAAAACCGAAACUCGAAAAUCCUAGAAAUUAAAAUGCAAAGUUAAGGGUUAUACCCUAAACCCUAAUGAUUCAAACCUUAAACCUUAAGGGUUUGGGACAAAUGACCAUAUUGCCAUUAAAAUAAAAAUCAAUUGACUAAAGUGCUUUUGGUUGUAUUAUUGAAGGUUUCCUAAGUAUAUAUUAAGAACGUCAACCUUCGGUUAGAAAACCCUAGUGAAUUAUAAGAAACCCUAGAAACCGGUUCUAGAAAUCUUAAUUUCAUUUUCGGGAAUCCGUAACCCUAAUUCAGAAUUUAAAACCCUAAUAUUGGAACUUAAAGGAUAAUUAUAAUGCUCAAGUGCUAUUAAUUAUAAUAUUUAUUAGGGUAAAACUUAAUUAUUUAAUAAACCCUAAUUUCAAAAUUUAAACCCUAAUUUAGGGAUUUAAAACCCUAAUUUAUAAACAGGGAAACCCUAAGUGUUAAUUUAAUAAUUUUAAUGUUAAUUAGGAAAUAUUAAUUCUAAUUUUCAAGUAAUAGUAAUUAGAAAAUCCUAAUAUCAUUAGGAAAUCUAAUUUCGAAAUUGGAAAUAUUAUUUUUCUGAAUAAAACCCUAAUUCAUGGGUUAUGAACCGUAAUUACCAUUUUGUCCUUAAUUGCUUCAUUAGCAAAUUUUAAUUAGGAAAUACUAAUCCUGAUUAGCAAGAUUUAAUUUAUGAUUGAGAAAUUUUAAUAUAAUUAGAAAAUUUUAAUUGUAAUUUAGAAAUAUUAUUUUUCUAUUUUUAAAACUGAAACUCAGAAAUCUUAGAAAUUAAAUUGCAAAGUUAAGGGUUAUACCCUAAACCCUAAGGAUUCAAACCCUAAACCCUAAGGGUUUGGGACAAAUGACCAUAUUGCCAUUAAAAUAAAAAUCAAUUGACUAAAGUGCUCUUGGUUGUAUUAUUGAAUGUUUCUUGUAGAUCCAGCCAUAAUUUAGGAGUGGGUGACCAAAUAAUAUCUAGCAUGUGACUUCUAUUUAUUGUACCAGCCGAAAUCAUCAAAAUCAUAGCAACAUGUCAACAAUUACCGAGAUUAAAGAGAGAAAAAGCCACUUUUAUUUCUCAUUUCUCCCAAGACCUUCUUUCUCUAUAUUUCGGGAAUGGGAAUGAGAUAGAGUGAUAAGAUAAACCAAGAAUACUUCUCAGCUAAGCCGGAACAGAUAACAAAGGUCAGAAUCCAAGAAUCAAAGUCUCAAGAGGUAUAAACCAUGAAAAUUUAGAAAUUAGUUAUUUGAUGUUAAAUGUUGUUAAUGAUUGGUUAAAGUUGUGUAUUAAGGUGUCUAUAAGUGAUCUGGGUUGAUAGAUCAUGGAUCUAUAACAUCUAGAUGCACGAAAAUCAAGUUUUCAAAACUGACCAAGAACCCUAAUUUUAAGGCCUGACAGUCAUAUGUCAGUGCCUCUAGAUCUGUGUGUGUUAGACGUUUUCUGUGUUUUAUAUUUUGAAUCUAUUCUAUGCCAUGUGGACUACCAUCUGGAACUGGAAUCAUGGACAUAUCAUUUCUAGAUCGCUUGUUAUAGGCAGUCAAAGGUCGUUGACCGAUAAACGAUAUCUGUAACAAACCCUAAGUAUAUAUUAAGAACAUCAACGUUCGGUUAGAAAACCCUAGUGAAUUAUAAGAAACCCAAGAAACUGGUUCUUGAAACCCUAAUUUCAGUUCCGAGAAUCCGAAACCCUAAUUCAGAAUUUUAAACCCAAAUUUGGGAACUUAAAGGAUAAUUAUAAUGCUCAAGUGCUAUUAAUUAUAAUAUUUAUUAGGGUAAAACUUAAUUAUUUAGUAAACCCUAAUUUCAAAUUUUUAAAACCUAAUUUAGGGAUUUGAAACCCUAAUUUAUAAAUAGGGAAACCCUAAGUGUUAAUUUAAUACUUUUAAUGUUAAUUACGAAAUAUUAAUUCUAAUUUUCAAGUUAUAGUAAUUAGAAAACCCUAAUAUCAUUAGGAAAUAUAAUUUCGAAAUUAGAAAUAUUAUUUUUCUAAAUAAAACCCUAAUUCGUGGGUUAUGAACCGUAAUAACCAUUUUGUCCUUAAUUGCUUAUUUAGCAAAUUUUAAUUAGAAAAUAUUAAUCCUAAUUAGCAAGAUUUAAUUUAUGAUUAAGAAAUUUUAAUAUAAUUAGAAAAUUCUAAUUGUAAUUUAAAAAUAUUAUUUUUCUAUUUUUAAAACCGAAACUCGGAAAUCAUAGAAAUUAAAAUGCAAAGUUAAGGGUUAUACCCUAAACCGUAAUGAUUCAAACCUUAAACCCUAAGGGUUUUGGACAAAUGACCAUAUUGCCAUUAAAAUAAAAAUCAAUUGACUAAAGUGCUCUUGGUUGUAUUAUUGAAGGUUGCUUGUAGAUCUAGCCAUAAUUUAGGAGUGGGUGACCAAAUAAUAUCUAGCAUGUGACUUAUAUCUAUUGUACCAGCCAAAAUCAUCAAAAUCAUAGCAACAUGUCAACAAUUACAGAGAUUAAAGAGAGAAAAAACCACUUUUAUUUCUCAUUUCUCCCAAGACCUUCUUUCUCUAUAUUUCAAGAAUGGGAAUGAGAUAGAGUAUUAAGAUAAGCCAAGAAUACUUCUCAGCUUAGCCGGAACGGAUAACAAAGGUCAGAAUCCAAGAAUCAAAGUCUCAAGAGGUAUAAACCCUGAAAAUUUAGAAAUCAGUGAUUUGAUGUUAAAUGUUGUUAAUGAUUGGUUAAAGUUGUGUAUUAAGGUGUCUAUAAGUUAUCUGGGUUGAUAGAUCAUGGAUCUAUAACAUCUAGAUGCACGAAAAACAAGUUUUCAAAAUUGACCAAGAACCCUAAUUUUAAGGCCUGACAGUCAUAUGUCAUUGCCUCUAGAUCCGUGUGUUAGAGGUUUUUUGUGUUUUAUAUUUUAAAUCUAUUCUAUGCCAUGUGGACUACCAUCUGGAACUGGAAUCAUGGACAUAUCAUUUCUAGAUCGCUUGUUAUAGGCAGUCAAAAAUCGUUGACCGAUAAACGAUAUCUGUAACAAACCCUAAGUAUAUAUUAAGAACAUCAACGUUCGGUUAGAAAACCCUAGUGAAUUAUAAGAAACCCUAGAAACCGGUUCUAAAAACCCUAAUU